AGUGUUCAUAUGAACAUUUAUGCAGAUCCAACUGCGUACUGGAUAGAACCCAGAUAGGACUACUUAAAUAGGAGAAAACAAAAUG
rnacentral:ncRNA from 1 species